rnacentral:rRNA from 1 species
AGUGAACGCUGGCGGUAGGCCUAACACAUGCAAGUCGAACGGCAGCACAGUAAGAGCUUGCUCUUACGGGUGGCGAGUGGCGGACGGGUGAGGAAUACAUCGGAAUCUACUUUUUCGUGGGGGAUAACGUAGGGAAACGUACGCUAAUACCGCAUACGACCUACGGGUGAAAGCAGGGGAUCUUCGGACCUUGCGCGAUUGAAUGAGCCGAUGUCGGAUUAGCUAGUUGGCGGGGUAAAGGCCCACCAAGGCGACGAUCCGUAGCUGGUCUGAGAGGAUGAGCAGCCAAACUGGAACUGAGCCACGGUCCAGACUCCUACGGGAGGCAGCAGUGGGGAAUAUUGGACAAUGGGCGCAAGCCUGAUCCAGCCAUACCGCGUGGGUGAAGAAGGCCUUCGGGUUGUAAAGCCCUUUUGUUGGGAAAGAAAAGCAGCAGGUUAAUACCCCGCUGUUCUGACGGUACCCAAAGAAUAAGCACCGGCUAACUUCGUG